GACGAACCGUGCAAACGUUGUUCGGAAUCACUGGGCUUAAAGGGCGCGUAGGCGGGCCAGCAAGUCGAAGGUGAAAUCCCACGGCUCAACCGUGGAAGUGCCCCCGAUACUGCUUGUCUUGAGGGAGAUAGGGGCGUGCGGAACUUCCGGUGGAGCGGUGAAAUGCGUAGAUAUCGGAAGGAACACCGGUGGCGAAAGCGGCGCGCUGGAUCUCUUCUGACGCUGAGGCGCGAAAGCCAGGGGAGCAAACGGG
rnacentral:rRNA from 1 species